CCUACGGGAGGCAGCAGUAAGGAAUAUUGGUCAAUGGACGAAAGUCUGAACCAGCCAUGCCGCGUGAAGGAUGAAGGUCCUCUGGAUUGUAAACUUCUUUUAUCUGGGACGAAAAAAGGGCUUUCUAGCUCACUUGACGGUACCAGAGGAAUAAGCACCGGCUAACUCCGUGCCAGCAGCCGCGGUAAUACGGAGGGUGCAAGCGUUAUCCGGAUUUACUGGGUUUAAAGGGAGCGUAGGUGGGCAGGUAAGUCAGUGGUGAAAUCUCUGGGCUUAACCCGGAAACUGCCAUUGAUACUAUCUGUCUUGAAUAUCCUGGAGGUAAGCGGAAUAUGUCAUGUAGCGGUGAAAUGCUUAGAUAUGACAUAGAACACCCAUUGCGAAGGCAGCUUACUACGGGAUUAUUGACACUGAGGCUCGAAAAGCGUGGGGAUCAAACAGGAUUAGAUACCCUGGUAGUCCACGCCCUAAACGAUGGAUACUCGACAUCAGCGAUACACUGUUGGUGUNUGAGCGAAAGACGAUAAAGUAAUACCACCCUACGGAAGGUAACGGUAACCGACCGAAGGUUAGUAAACGUUAACGAAAGGAAAGUUAGACGGCGNGAGACGAGCCGAACGGACGACGACGAGGGAGGAGGAG
rnacentral:rRNA from 1 species